rnacentral:rRNA from 1 species
UACGUAGGGCGCAAGCGUUGUCCGGAAUUAUUGGGCGUAAAGAGCUCGUAGGCGGUCUGUCGCGUCCGUUGUGAAAACUCGAGGCUCAGCCUCGGGCUUGCAGUGGAUACGGGCAGACUAGAGUGCGGUAGGGGAGACUGGAAUUCCUGGUGUAGCGGUGGAAUGCGCAGAUAUCAGGAGGAACACCGAUGGCGAAGGCAGGUCUCUGGGCCGCAACUGACGCUGAGGAGCGAAAGCAUGGGGAGCGAACAGG